rnacentral:rRNA from 1 species
GAUGAACGCUGGCGGCGUGCCUAAUACAUGCAAGUCGAGCGAACGGACGAGAAGCUUGCUUCUCUGAUGUUAGCGGCGGACGGGUGAGUAACACGUGGAUAACCUACCUAUAAGACUGGGAUAACUUCGGGAAACCGGAGCUAAUACCGGAUAAUAUUUUGAACCGCAUGGUUCAAAAGUGAAAGACGGUCUUGCUGUCACUUAUAGAUGGAUCCGCGCUGCAUUAGCUAGUUGGUAAGGUAACGGCUUACCAAGGCAACGAUGCAUAGCCGACCUGAGAGGGUGAUCGGCCACACUGGAACUGAGACACGGUCCAGACUCCUACGGGAGGCAGCAGUAGGGAAUCUUCCGCAAUGGGCGAAAGCCUGACGGAGCAACGCCGCGUGAGUGAUGAAGGUCUUCGGAUCGUAAAACUCUGUUAUUAGGGAAGAACAUAUGUGUAAGUAACUGUGCACAUCUUGACGGUACCUAAUCAGAAAGCCACGGCUAACUACGUGCCAGCAGCCGCGGUAAUACGUAGGUGGCAAGCGUUAUCCGGAAUUAUUGGGCGUAAAGCGCGCGUAGGCGGUUUUUUAAGUCUGAUGUGAAAGCCCACGGCUCAACCGUGGAGGGUCAUUGGAAACUGGAAAACUUGAGUGCAGAAGAGGAAAGUGGAAUUCCAUGUGUAGCGGUGAAAUGCGCAGAGAUAUGGAGGAACACCAGUGGCGAAGGCGACUUUCUGGUCUGUAACUGACGCUGAUGUGCGAAAGCGUGGGGAUCAAACAGGAUUAGAUACCCUGGUAGUCCACGCCGUAAACGAUGAGUGCUAAGUGUUAGGGGGUUUCCGCCCCUUAGUGCUGCAGCUAACGCAUUAAGCACUCCGCCUGGGGAGUACGACCGCAAGGUUGAAACUCAAAGGAAUUGACGGGGACCCGCACAAGCGGUGGAGCAUGUGGUUUAAUUCGAAGCAACGCGAAGAACCUUACCAAAUCUUGACAUCCUUUGACAACUCUAGAGAUAGAGCCUUCCCCUUCGGGGGGCAAAGUGACAGGUGGUGCAUGGUUGUCGUCAGCUCGUGUCGUGAGAUGUUGGGUUAAGUCCCGCAACGAGCGCAACCCUUAAGCUUAGUUGCCAUCAUUAAGUUGGGCACUCUAAGUUGACUGCCGGUGACAAACCGGAGGAAGGUGGGGAUGACGUCAAAUCAUCAUGCCCCUUAUGAUUUGGGCUACACACGUGCUACGAUGGACAAUACAAAGGGCAGCGAAACCGCGAGGUCAAGCAAAUCCCAUAAAGUUGUUCUCAGUUCGGAUUGUAGUCUGCAACUCGACUACAUGAAGCUGGAAUCGCUAGUAAUCGUAGAUCAGCAUGCUACGGUGAAUACGUUCCCGGGUCU